GUCUUAUUGAAUGUAUACAACUCUGCUGCCCUGCACCUAUCAGGAGCUUUUUUCACAGAUAAGGAAACUGUGGGUCCAAGGCAAGUGUCCUCUGCCCCAGGAGUCAGUGAAUGCUGGACCCUCAGGAGCCCCUUCCCCGGUUCUGCAAGUCAGGUCCCAGCCUGUAGGUUUGGAGCAGUGACCUUGCAGUUGCACAACGUGUCUCAGGCCGUGGGCGUGUGCUGCGAGGGUCCUGGAACUGCGAACAAACCAGAAGUGAGUGAGCCCCGGGACGCGCAGCUCAGCUAUUCAUUCAGCUACAGCCCGAGCUUCACUUUCACUCCUAGAAAGGAGUCCUCACCGUCCUAGUUUUGCUGCCAAAGUGGAGGCGCUUUGAUAUUCCGGUUAUAAACAGGAGGUCGGCACCCAGGCGUCCAGCUCUGGCUGCUACGGGGACCUCCGCUUCGGCUACUCCCUCUGGUCAUAAAUCAGUCGGUAACUCCUUCACCCUUGCCCACGCUAUCGCGGCCCACAGUCCUGCAAAUCCAACAGGGAGGGAUUGGGCCUAACGAGCAGUAACCGAGGUAGAAAUAAAUGGGGUCCCUUCCAUCCACACUCAUUCCUCCUAAGACCCCCGCCACCUUCCCCCUGGCCUCCGCGCUGAAGCCCAGGAGGACAGUUUCGCCUCCACCCCGCUGGUUCUCCGGAUUUACCACCUGUGCACGCCUUGGAAGUUCUGUACUUUUCGCAUCCUCCUCCAUCUUUUUCCAAGAGCACUUCGAUUUUCUCCCGCUCUCAUCUGAACCCCAGAAGCGCAGUUUCUUCUUUCAGGCCAGUGGAAAAAUCCCCGCACCUAGGCUAGAAGCCACUUGCUUUAACAAGUCCAAAGGUCAGCUAAAGUUUAGCUGAUAAACAGAACCCGCAAAAGAAGGUCUUCAGCCCCGCAGCGUGAGUACAAUAGGCCCUGGCAAGCCCCGCUCCUGGCCCGGGUCUCCGGCUCCCCACGACUGCCCCUUGGGCUUUCUCUCUCUCGGUUUUCCC
ensembl:lncRNA